rnacentral:rRNA from 1 species
UGGGGGAUAUUGCACAAUGGGCGAAAGCCUGAUGCAGCGACGCCGCGUGGGGGAUGAAGGCCUUCGGGUUGUAAACUUCUUUUGCUCUGAACAAGGCGCACCAUGGGGUGUGUUGAGUGUAGGGGUUGAUUAGCGCCGGCUAACUACGUGCCAGCAGCCGCGGUAAUACGUAGGGCGCGAGCGUUGUCCGGAAUUAUUGGGCGUAAAGGGCUUGUAGGUGGCUGGUUGCGUCUGUCGUGAAAGCUCAUGGCUUAACUGUGGGUUUGCGGUGGGUACGUGCUGUCUUGAGUGCAGUAGGGGAGGCUGGAAUUCCUGGUGUAGCGGUGGAAUGCGCAGAUAUCAGGAGGAAUACCGGUGGCGAAGGCGGGUCUCUGGGCUGUUACUGACACUGAGGAGCGAAAACAUGGGGAGCGAACAUG